GCCAGGAGAGUGAGGGGAGUCUUCGGGAGCUGCGCCGGCCCCGCAGCGGCAGGGUCUGAGGCCCGAGGCCGCCCCCGAGUGCAGGCCCUGGGGAGACUCCGCCAGCCAGAGACACCCACACACAUUCCAGACUCGCUGUGUGGCUACUAGAGAGUUCCCCAGCCUCUCUGGGGCCUUGGCUUCCCUGGACACCCAGCAGGUAAGGAGUGGGAAAAGGACUCAAGCACGCCAGAAAAGCACACAAGGAACCAUCUGAGCUGAAGCCAUGGGCGCACCUGCUAUUUUAAGCUUCCGAAGAACAACAACAACACAAAUUUGUUACCGAGGUGAGCAGCAGAAUCGUUGAACAAAUUGGGGCAUUAGUUCCAGACAUUAAUUAAGUGGCGGGUUUGUGAGCGGCAAAUUUAUUCUUCAUGGAGUUCAGAGGGUGGGGGUGGGGGCGGGAAGCAGGGCUGGUGGAGAAAGCAAAGAGAGCUAGGACCCCAGGACCCCAGCUUUGGGAGGUGGGGCUCCUUGCCUAAAUCAAUGUCUUUGGUUUAAGGUAACCCCUCAAAGCCAACUGGACCCCAGUUCCGAACAGAUUCCCUGCCCAGUGCACACAAUGUACAUGCUAAGCCUGGUGUUUCAGCCCCUCCCUGUAAGGCACAUGCUGCCACAGCCAGCCAGCCCCAACAGCCUCCCCAGGAGCCCCAGCCACAGCCUGUCCCACGGAGCUAGAGCUGAGGCUGAUAUCGGGCGGGGGAGGGGGGAAGAAGGAUGUCGCAGGACAGCCUGAUCACUCUCUCCUUUGGGGGAGAGGAGUCACAAGAUGAUUUCAAUUGCACUUUAAGAGCCUACUUUUGGCUGCAGGCUGGGUUGUCACUCAGAACCAAAACCCCUCCCAUUCUACCCUCAUCCCUCCCCUCAAACCUGGUUGCUAUACAGAAACUCAUUUAAGGGAGAAGAUAGUGGAUCAGACCUACAUCAUUCCAUGUAGGCAUAUAUAUAUUAUAUGUAAUGUAUAUACAUGUAUCAUCAGGAAAAAAUCAUGCUGCCCAAUUGUAUUUUUCUGUAAAAUAAAUGGUCUAUUUUAACAACAAAUCACUUAAAAAACCAUUAACAUUGGUUAUCUCAGA